rnacentral:rRNA from 1 species
GACGAACGCUGGCGGCGUGCUUAACACAUGCAAGUCGAACGGAAAGGCCCUGCUUUUGUGGGGUGCUCGAGUGGCGAACGGGUGAGUAACACGUGAGUAACCUGCCCUUGACUUUGGGAUAACUUCAGGAAACUGGGGCUAAUACCGGAUAGGAGCUCCUGCUGCAUGGUGGGGGUUGGAAAGUUUCGGCGGUUGGGGAUGGACUCGCGGCUUAUCAGCUUGUUGGUGGGGUAGUGGCUUACCAAGGCUUUGACGGGUAGCCGGCCUGAGAGGGUGACCGGCCACAUUGGGACUGAGAUACGGCCCAGACUCCUACGGGAGGCAGCAGUGGGGAAUAUUGCAUAAUGGGCGGAAGCCUGAUGCAGCAACGCCGCGUGCGGGAUGACGGCCUUCGGGUUGUAAACCGCUUUCGCCUGUGACGAAGCGUGAGUGACGGUAAUGGGUAAAGAAGCACCGGCUAACUACGUGCCAGCAGCCGCGGUGAUACGUAGGGUGCGAGCGUUGUCCGGAUUUAUUGGGCGUAAAGGGCUCGUAGGUGGUUGAUCGCGUCGGAAGUGUAAUCUUGGGGCUUAACCCUGAGCGUGCUUUCGAUACGGGUUGACUUGAGGAAGGUAGGGGAGAAUGGAAUUCCUGGUGGAGCGGUGGAAUGCGCAGAUAUCAGGAGGAACACCAGUGGCGAAGGCGGUUCUCUGGGCCUUUCCUGACGCUGAGGAGCGAAAGCGUGGGGAGCGAACAGGCUUAGAUACCCUGGUAGUCCACGCUGUAAACGGUGGGUACUAGGUGUGGGGUCCAUUCCACGGGUUCCGUGCCGUAGCUAACGCUUUAAGUACCCCGCCUGGGGAGUACGGCCGCAAGGCUAAAACUCAAAGGAAUUGACGGGGCCCCGCACAAGCGGCGGAGCAUGCGGAUUAAUUCGAUGCAACGCGUAGAACCUUACCUGGGUUUGACAUGGAUCGGGAGUGCUCAGAGAUGGGUGUGCCUCUUUUGGGGUCGGUUCACAGGUGGUGCAUGGCUGUCGUCAGCUCGUGUCGUGAGAUGUUGGGUUAAGUCCCGCAACGAGCGCAACCCUUGUUCACUGUUGCCAGCACGUUAUGGUGGGGACUCAGUGGAGACCGCCGGGGUCAACUCGGAGGAAGGUGGGGAUGACGUCAAGUCAUCAUGCCCCUUAUGUCCAGGGCUUCACGCAUGCUACAAUGGCUGGUACAGAGAGUGGCGAGCCUGUGAGGGUGAGCGAAUCUCGGAAAGUCGGUCUCAGUUCGGAUUGGGGUCUGCAACUCGACCUCAUGAAGUCGGAGUCGCUAGUAAUCGCAGAUCAGCAACGCUGCGGUGAAUACGUUCCCGGGGCU